rnacentral:rRNA from 1 species
GGGGGCGGCUACACAUGCAAGUCGAGCGGCAGCGCAGGAGGAGCUUGCUCUCUCUGGCUGACGAGCGGCGGACGGGUGAGUAAUGUCUGGGAAACUGCCUGAUGGAGGGGGAUAACUACUGGAAACGGUAGCUAAUACCGCAUAACGUCGCAAGACCAAAGAGGGGGACCUUCGGGCCUCUUGCCAUCGGAUGUGCCCAGAUGGGAUUAGCUAGUAGGUGAGGUAAUGGCUCACCUAGGCGACGAUCCCUAGCUGGUCUGAGAGGAUGACCAGCCACACUGGAACUGAGACACGGUCCAGACUCCUUCGGGAGGCAACCAGUGGGGAAUAUUGCACAAUGGGCGCAAGCCUGAUGCAGCCAUGCCGCGUGUGUGAAGAAGGCCUUCGGGUUGUAAAGCACUUUCAGCGGGGAGGAAGGGAGCAGGCUUAAUACGUCUGUUCAUUGACGUUACCCGCAGAAGAAGCACCGGCUAACUCCGUGCCAGCAGCCGCGGUAAUACGGAGGGUGCAAGCGUUAAUCGGAAUGACUGGGCGUAAAGCGCACGCAGGCGGUCUGUUAAGUUGGAUGUGAAAUCCCCGGGCUUAACCUGGGAACUGCAUUCAAAACUGACAGGCUAGAGUCUCGUAGAGGGGGGUAGAAUUCCAGGUGUAGCGGUGAAAUGCGUAGAGAUCUGGAGGAAUACCGGUGGCGAAGGCGGCCCCCUGGACGAAGACUGACGCUCAGGUGCGAAAGCGUGGGGAGCAAACAGGAUUAGAUACCCUGGUAGUCCACGCUGUAAACGAUGUCGAUUUGGAGGUUGUGGUCUUGAACCGUGGCUUCCGGAGCUAACGCGUUAAAUCGACCGCCUGGGGAGUACGGCCGCAAGGUUAAAACUCAAAUGAAUUGACGGGGGCCCGCACAAGCGGUGGAGCAUGUGGUUUAAUUCGAUGCAACGCGAAGAACCUUACCUACUCUUGACAUCCAGAGAAGCCUGCAGAGAUGCGGGUGUGCCUUCGGGAACUCUGAGACAGGUGCUGCAUGGCUGUCGUCAGCUCGUGUUGUGAAAUGUUGGGUUAAGUCCCGCAACCAAGCGCAACCCUUAUCCUUUGUUGCCAGCACUUCGGGUGGGGAACUCAAGGGAAGACUGCCGGUGAUAAACCCGAAGGAAGGUGGGGAUGACGUCAAGUCAUCAUGGGCCCUUACAAGUAGGGCUUACCACCGGGCCACAAAGGCGAAAACAAAGAGAAGCGACCUCGCGAGAGCAAGCGGACCUCAUAAAGUACGUCGUAGUCCGGAUUGGAGUCUGCAACUCGACUCCAUGAAGUCGGAAUCGCUAGUAAUCGUAGAUCAGAAUGCUACGGUGAAUACGUUCCCGGGCCUUGUACACACCGCCCGUCACACCAUGGGAGUGGGUUGCAAAAGAAGUAGGUAGCUUAACCUUCGGGAGGGCGCUACCACUUUUUGUUUCAA